GCAAAACUGUGGGUGUAAGAUGAAAAACAAUUGCAUGAGAUCUCCAGGGCUGGUCCAUAAUGACUCCAAACCCUAAAUUGUUCAUCCCUAGAGCAUGGUUUAUAACUGCAACGGAUCCUGGAGGAGCUGUGUAACUAGCACUUAAAUAAAGGGGAGGCAGGGAGGCCUCCUGCAGCAGUGGCAUUUGUUCUGGGAAGGGCUGACCCAGGGUGGCCACAGCAAGAAGGUACUGAAACCCACUGUCUCCUCCUAGAAACAGAAUUGAAGGUCACAAAGUAAAGACCCCUACAGCCACUGCUGGCCUCCGAUUAAAAAUAAAUCCCUUUCAUGGCCAGACAGUGGUUUGGGAAGGGGAAAUGCUGAAUGGCAGUGAAAACUUGGAUAAUUUUUUGGCUGGGUGUCCUGCAAGGGCAAGCACAAGUGGCACUGAUUCGGCUACAGCUCUAUACCCCCAGCCACUGGCACGCACGUACAGGUGUACUCCCUCCUUUAUAUUUAACUUUUUCACAGUAAAACAAGCCUGAUUUUUAUGGUACAUUUAUCUGAGAGCAAAUGUGAGAGCAGCUCAGCCCCUGAAACAACAGAGAUGAGAAGCUGCUUAGUGUUCUGUCUGUGCCACCUCCAGAGGCAGGAAAAUCAGUCCUCCGUGGGCUUCUGGUGCUUCGCCCCACCUUAUGAUUAGUACCGUUAGUUCCAGGUGCUGGGGGCUGCCACUGUCUUGCCAGAAUGACAAACCAACCAAAAAGGACAAAGGUCCCCCUAUACCUCCUGUACUUCCUCCUCAGGUACAGCGCACAGCAGAGCCAGGCACUUAGAAGACUCAUUCCUGUCCUUACAUGGCACGAGAGGAAGUACGGGUACCACCCGUGGGAGCCGUCCCUCCCUCGCAGCAGGCUGCCAUCCGCUGCUCCUUGACCAGAUACCCAGCAGAUUAUUUUUGUCUUGGCUCACGUAGUCCCAAUGUUACAAUUACCCGCUGACCUCAAACACUUACUUUUAAAAUUACCCCUCUUUAGCAAACCCUGUGUCUAGUGGGUUGGGUGUUUUUUUUUUUUAUUUUUUAUUUUUAUGUCUAAACGGUUAAAUAGUGGGUGUGGUUGAGGAGAGAAAAGAAGAAAGCUUCCAGAGCAGGCAGGAGGGGCAGGGCUGAGAGGGUCUUGGCAUGGAGAAGCCCACAUGCUCCAGAGAGGAGCACAAGGCUUCUUCUCCUUCCUCAGCAGCAUCUUCUUCUGUGGCGUCAGAUUUCCUUGAUGACAAACACCAUUUCACAGAGGUCCCCAUUCCUCAUAGAUACGCCUUGAGACUUACUCUUGCAGCCGUGGCAUAACCCCAGAGACUCAAAGCAGCAUCCUUUGGAUGCGGCAUGAAAGUCAGUACUUUCCUGCAAACUGAUGUUGAACAUAACAGAAAUGACAGGCCAGCAAGUGCAAAGCACUCUGGGCCUGAAGACAAACACAGACGGGGAGAGGCAGCCACGACUGCAAAGUUGUGUUCACCACUUAGGAAAGAUGUCGCUCAUCCAUGGCUGACUGUUGUAUUAAGUUGCCUGCAAAGCUUCUCAGAAUGCACUGAAACACGUUCAGAAAGGAAAGAGGAGCGUCUUGUUCAGGGGUGGAGAGCGUGAGGGAAUGGGACACUAGUCUGCCCUCGUGAUGGAAAAAGAAAGGGAAGCAGCUGACAGGAGUAAGCACCAUUCCUCACAACCAGGAUACUCAUGCAGCUCCUUCAGGUUGCUGCGUGCUAGGGUUUUCCCUCCAUGUUCUAGCUGGCCUCAAAGCCCAGCUGAACUGAUUGGAACCACUGUGAAAGAUAAGGCUCUAAGUAGCAUAAAGAUCUUCAACUGGGCUGGUUUUGAACACUGGCCUUUAAUUUACUUUCUGUCACCUGGCCAGCAGCUCAUUAGGGACAAAGGUCACCAACAAAAAGCUGAAGUCAGUGCUUGUGGAGGAAGCCUGCCAGCAGUGCCCUGAGCUGCAGGUGUUUAUAAUGGGAUCUGCUGCUCAGUGCUAGUUUUGCUCUGUGCUGUUGAGGAUCUGGGGAAGGCUGAGUGGUAGAACGUGGAUCUGAAUACCAUUGGACCUGAAUGACGAUCUCAGCAUUUUUUGUAAGCAAAAGGCUCGCUCAGCAUCAGAGGAGCUGUACAAACACAGUGGGACGUUACGAGAGCAAAUGGACCUAACACCCUCCCAGACCGAAUGGCACUUUUCUGCCACUUAUCGCACUGACCUAAUUCAAACUUCUGGACAGUCAAGUUUGAAAUGAACUGGCUGAGAGCAAACCAGCUCAAGGCCUCGGGUUCUGUUCUUGCUGUGCCACUUACAAUUUCACCCAUGUUUUCUCAAAGCAGCAGCACUUUUCUCCUGAAAGAGCGGGGCUGGGAGUCUCAGGCUGAGAUGAAACAUGGGAAGUGUGGUCUGGUCUGAGACAUCUGUGAGCAGGGGAGUCCCACAAUGUGAGAUCGGGAAAAUAAUUCCCUUAGGGCACAGCACCAUUAUCAGCACAAGGGUUUUGAGUCCUGGCUAAAUUAUUUGUUUGACAUCCUAAAAAUGAAAAUAUUUUGGCUGAAGCCUUUGCAGGCAUUUUAAGAGAGCAGUGAAAUUAAGACCAAUGUUUGGAAGGAACUCAUGUAAGUGAAAACAAACUCCAGGGGGUGAUUUUUUGGGGAAAAAUAAAAAGCUUUCAACGCAAAUAUGAUUUGUCAAAGCUGUGCUACAGCAGGAGCUCUGACAGGAAUUGUGGAUAUCUUCUUUCUGGAUGUGGGAAUAGCCUUCAGGAGUUUGAGUACCCCACCAAAGCCCUGUUUUUUAGCUCAUUCUGAGUUGCUAAAGCUCUGCCACUCUUCACUGAUGGCUUCUGCUCCAGGGUUGAGAAUUGAAGCGCCUGCUCAUGCCGUUUACAUUGGCAGCUAUGGACGUCACACUGGUAGACGCAGGGUGGGGCUGAGUGUGCCCAGGCUCUUUUGCACUGCUUCUCCCUGUCCUCUGGAGGCUGGCAUGGACAAAUGGCCCAGCCUUGGAAAAUAUUAGUAUCUCACUGUGAGUGCUGGUUCUAAGAUGUGCCCACAGGAGGCCGGUCUGUGCUCAGGGAAAUGGGAUCCUUAGCAAGCAGCUAGGUGAAACUCUGGGCUCUACAUGUGGAGCAAAGCAGAGGACUCUGAGUUCACCUGAGUAUACACCAUCACAUCUUAGCCCACUCCGUUCAGUUCUAAUGACAAUUGCACAGGAAAUUACAUAUUCUUCUAAAUAAUUUUGUUCCUCCAUAUGCUACUCUGGACGUUAACGAAGCCUCCCAAGGGCUAAGCCAGGCUGGUUCUGCUGAGUGUGGUGCUGCUGCAGAGUCCUUGCCAGCACUCUCCAUGGAGUGUUUCAACCUCGCUUUAACCCUCCACUGCUCCAUCUGCACAUCUCAGUGCAUUUGCCAGCCACAUAUAAUGUGAUUCAAUCUCAUCUCUGAGAUUUUCCACACAGGCCAGUAGGUAUCAGAGUCUGAGUUAUUUUCAGCCUGUCUGUGACAUCCAAUUCCACCCACUUGGCUUGCACGGAUAUAUAAAUUGUGGAGGUGUCUGAAAUAACAGGCCCGGAGGAAACAUCUGUCACCUCUGAAGGCUUGUGAGAGGAGGACGAGGUGUUCAGCUCCACAUUUACUGUGUCUAACUCUGAUUCUAAGGAAGCAGAGCAGCACGAGGCUCUGUGACACGGGCUGGCCGCUUCAGCAGUCAGGUUUUCAAGCUGCCUUCUUGAUUCAUUUCACCUGUGGAGUUAAAGUGAGCUCAGAAAUCAGGAUGGCACCUUAACCUUUAUCCUCUGAAGGAAAGGGCUGCUUCUCUUCUUUGUUUCUUUGUAUUUUCACUGCAAGACGGCAUCUCUUCUCAAGACCACAGAGCUCGCUGUGCAGGGGCUGACAGGCUGCUCAGCUCUGCAACCUGUCCCUGUGCUCUCCAUAGCAGCGAAAGCUGCGAGCGCACAGAGGCCGGCUCAGCGCGCACCACUCCCACGCACCAACGCAUAACGGCAAACGCCAUCUUGGAGGGCUGUACGGGCCGCGGGGCGGUGACGCAGACGAGACGCAGCAGCGCGCAGGCACGCGUGGACAGGCACAGCCCGGAGAGGCCGCGCCCCCUGGCGGUCGGAGGCCGAUACGGCAACUCUCUGCUCUUCGUGUGGGGCGGCUCCGCCCCGCACCCGCCAGGGGGCGCCCCCGGCACGGCCAUGGAGAUGGCGGCCGGGCGGAGGGCGGGGCUGGGUGCACCGCCAUCACCGCGGCUCGGGUCUGGGCGGGGAGCGCUUCUUCCUGGUGACAGCGACGGGACCCGAGGGAAUGGCGCGGAGCUGCGUCGGGAGAGAGUCAGGGUGGGUGUUAGGAAAAGGUUCUUCUCCAGAGGGCGGUGAGGCGCUGGCACAGCUGCCCAGAGAGCUGUGGGUGCCCCAUCCCUGCAGGUGUUCAAAGCCGGGUUGGCUUGCCCUUGUAUUUAAAAUGAAAAAACAGCAAAAACCAGCUGAGUAAAGCUGCCCCGGUUGGUACCCAAACAGUCCUGGAUACGGAAGCAGAUGUAAGCGUGGAAGAAAACCUUGAAGGAACAGAUAACUGAGGGUACCAGUUAGCUCUCCAGGAGGUUCUGUGUUUGUUACCUGGGAAAGCUGUCGCUAACUCAGGUGUAACAGUGGUUUGUAGUGCAGUGCUAGUUUUAGUUGACAGCUUGGGUACUAACAGGUGUAGCAAGAGCAGUGGGACGUGUCAUUCCAGCUACAGACUUGCUGAGGGGCUGGGGAAAGGCCUGGGCGCUGAGUCCCAGUGGCCGUACCGGUAGGAGCUCCUCACUGGCAGCUGGCUCCGGUACGCCUGCAAUGCUCCGACAGCAAUGUGGGCAUGCGGUGAGAAGCGCUCCUGCUCGCUGUGCGCCAUUAUGUUGAUGGUGUCGUGUCAUCUGCUCCCGGCAGGAGCCCAGGGCUGCAGUGCAGGAGGAUGGGAUGAGCAAGGAAUUCAUUCUUUCCACUUCUGUAGUCUUUUGAGUCAUGUUCUGAAUCGUAUCAAACAGCUAUCUUUUGCAAAACCACCUACUCUUUUGAAAUGAAAUCUAAACAGAGCUUGGAAAUAAAGGUAGGUGUGGAGUUAAUCCAGUUUCCGCAGGUUUGUUCCCCACCAUUGUGAAAAACAGGAUUUAUAGGAGGGCUGUAGAACGUGAGUAAGAGGAAAGCUCUAUAUUCAUGAAAUGAUCAACCUUGUAGUAGGUAAUGGAUGAUUACAAGAGCAGGGAAGCUUUCACAGACAUUAGUGUUCUUGGUGGCAGCAGAAUGAACUGGCAAAUAUGUACACAGUUGGCAAAGUGUUGCGUGCAGUAGCAGAUCGUCUGAAUCGUACCGAGGGAAGAAGGAGGUGCAUCCUCACAUCCUCACAGGUCCUUCAUAUGCACGAGAGCUGGUCGCCAGUGCCACUGUGGUGUCUGUAUCAUUGAUGUUUUGUCUUUGAUGUGCGCUCACCACGUGCUUGGAUCUGCUGUUUCUGCACUGAAGCCGCUCCUUAGGCUGCCUUGGGCUGCCAACUUGUCUCCAGUUCGUACAGAGGGAGCAAAUUCUACACAAACCAGAGCAGACAGGAUCAGUGAAGAAUCUGCAUGCCGGUACUAACUUAUGAAAGAUCACGAGGAGAAGGGGUUCAAAAUGUGCCAGUGAAGCUGAGUGGGCUAAGUUUGUGUAUUGCAUUUGGUGGAAGCUAAACAGAAAACAGUCUGUGAGCUGAAAUAUGACGGACAGAAAUACGAAGGAUUGUUAAGGACAACACGGGCUGAGCUGUCCAAGCCAUGGAAGGCGUGGGCAGAGCUUUCCCAGCCGCUGCUGAAUGCCCACCUGCAGCUCAGUGCAGCAGGCAGACUACCACACGUGGGAAACUUCCUGAUGCACUGAAGUCUGAAGUCCGAAUCAUGGACAAGCAAACUUGCUGUGUGACAGAGUGAACCAGGAAGCUUUUAAUGGGCGGUUUAUCCUGGAACAGUUCACCAAACAUUAUAUCCCUAUUAACAGAGAUUUAUUUCACGGGCACUUUUUUACUGCCAUGUAGCUCGUACUUACUUAAAGGGGGAAAUAACUGGAUGACCAACUAAUUUUUCAAGAGGUACUGACUAAGUUCAAACAAAUUAUACUUGGAAUAAAUGCAAAGAUCCUGCUGAGCCUCUGGUGAUUGGUGAUUUUGAUUUGGUUAGAAAGGUGUUAAAAUCAGAGCCUGGAGAUAUUUGGCCCUAUUUUUUGCUGUCUGCCACGGUACCUAGUUACUGUUUCUGAUAUUAUCAUCUGCUUUAACACACAAAUUCCCUCAAACAGCAGUAGUCCCUAAUAUAUCCUCCUUAUAUUCCCAUCUUCUUGGCCACAUAUUGCUUACUGUGCUAAGUGCUAAAUGGCUUUCGGAAAGUGCUAAGAGGGUGCUGUGAAAGGACUAAGCUGAGUUUCACAAACCACCGCCUGUACAGAGAAAUAGUGUUAUUAUGGAGGGUAGUGCCAGCAGGCCGGCGGGGGCUUAUUCUGACAAAGCCGAAGAGCCGAACUUCACGGUCGUGUUCUUAGGAUGAUUUAAAUGAGACAUUUUCACCUUGAAGGAAUGAAGUUUUUUGUUCCUAACUGAAAUAAAACAACUGGAUACUUCAUGAGAAAUAUUCAACAGGAUCAGUAUGUUCCAGGUCAAGUUCAUCUACUCUGCCAUCUCUAUCAGAAACCAGCUCAGCACUCGAUAAUUCUUAGAAUGGAAAAACGAUUCUUGGAAGAUGAUGGGAACAAAGCCCCAGAGCUAGAAAAGGAACAUUGUUUCUUAAGCUCCAGCCGAUCUCAGGAAAACAAAAACCAAACCAGCCAUGAAGGUACUACAUCUCCACAACAAUUCAGAUGUUCCUUGACUAAACGCAGUUGUAUGGGCAUUUGCAGAGAGUAAAACAGAUCAAUAUUUGUUAUCUUCUCCAACAUGUGGCAGCGUGCUGGGUCCAGUGUAUGAGCUUCAGCCUACGAGCAGAAGGGUAGCAUCACGAUAUGAGAAGCCAAUUCAUUGCAAGAGAAUUUCAGAAAUGCUGUGUGCAUGGAGGCUUUCCGGAGAAUCAGUUCCCUGGUUAAAUCACAACAGAGACUGGUGGCUACGGAAACACAAUAUGUCCGCAUGGAUGUAGGCAAGGCACAAGAGACUAGAAGCAGAGACUCUGCACUGGAGAAUGUCAUGUGGAAUGGUGUCAAAACCUUGUAAGAAUCAAGACGUAUAACGACUGUUACUUCUUUCCUAUGAAGAAAGGUAUGUGGAACCCGAUCUAAGACAGAUAUAGGCUUGAACAAAUUUAUCAGUUUCCAAUCUUCAGUUCAAUCACUGCAAUUUUGUGUGUAGCCAUAACCUCAGUAAUUGUCUUCUGUAUCUCAGUGAUUAAAGCUCAUUCAAAAUUCAGCCAAGUUUCAGGAAAACAUUUUCUUUCCUUGCUAAGACAUUAUGUAGACAGAAAUAAGAGACUUUCUACCGUCCCAGAUUCAGUGAGAGAGAAGUUGGCACUGUCUAAUACCCAUAUAGCUGUGAUAAACUCCUUUGCAAAAACAUGACAAUGUAGGUUGAUUCUUGAAGAUAUUUCUUUGCUUUGUAGAAUCCCCAUUCAAGGAAGCACAUUAAUGUGUGCUAAUAGUUGUGUAUGAUUUUAAUUUAUGUACUAUUCUGUAGUAGUAUGAAAUUCCUGAUGCAAUCAGUAUCAUUGCAAAAAAUAAAGCUGUUCUUACAAAUGAGUUACAAAUCCUCAUUAGCCUUCAGAUGUUACAUUAGACAAGCAUUUGCUAUAUCCUCCAGAUAUUAUGCAGAUUUUGGUGCUGUUUAUUGGUCACCUCUGUCCUUAAUAGCCUCUAUCACCCCAGUAUCUAAGCAACUUGAUCCUGUAUGCCCUAGUGUUAAACAAUGGCCUACCUCUAAGAGAUGCUUUUCUUUUUAGGGAAACUAGUACAUCAUAUCAAGGAAUGAAUGGUUAUGAUUCUAUAACACUGGAAGUGACUAAUCCCGUGUUGUAAAUGGGAUAAAGGGAAACGGAAUGUAUUUUGAGAACAAACAGUAAUCAUUGACACAGUAAUUUGCAUCCCUAGAUAUUAUAAUAAUGACUAAGUAUCACUUCCCCUUGUUUGCAUAAGGAAGAGUAGGCAGAGAAAUCCAGUGAUUCGGCUAUCGCCCAAGCAAGGCGCUGGAAAAGAUAGCAUAGGUCGCUUUACUUCAUGUUGUUUUCCUCUUCUCUACUAUGUGUUUGAAAUUCAGCAUUACAAAAGUCAUGAUCCUUUCCAGCACAGAAGUCUCUGUCAGUGUUUCACCAGUUCAUUCCACAGCUAGCCUCAUGCCACAAGAGUUGGUCAAGACUUGUGGAAGGUUGGAGAGAGGCGAGGCACAGAGCAUUGCCUUCAGAAGAGCUAGUUUGGAUGGGUGACUUGGGAUUCCUGGCAAUUUACAUGUAUUAAUUGCCAACAGCCUCAAUCUGUGCUGUCUUGCUGAUGAAGCUAACAUAUUUUUGCUGCCUGAGGAAACUUCCUGCUCUUUAGAAAUCAAUCGCAAUUGUAAGGACCAAAGUCUAUUCAGCGACCCUUCUGCUUCAUGACCAACUUGCAGCACAGGAAGUACUCACUAAAAUUGGAUCCUGAAGGUAUGUUUGCGCAGAGAGCUGCGUUCACAAAUAUUUCUAGACAGGCAGUCGCUAGGAAGUCAGAAGCACCACAUCAGAGAUGGAUUAUUUGGGAGCUGAAAAGCAAAUAUGUUUAAUGUCUUAAUUUUUUUUAGAAGAAAAUUAAGCACCUGCGGUAUGAUUUGCUUUGUACUAAAUAAAGGGAGGGAAAAAUGUCAUUAGUAGAAUUGGUAAUAGCGUUCUAAGUUGUCUUUGAAUUUCACACUAGCUGCAUAUCACAGAACCAGGGCAAAUAGCAGUGAAUACAACCUUUACUUAGCUUCUCCUGACAAACAUACAGCAAAGGGUACAGCGGGCUCACACUGACACGCGGCCAGAGGAGGUACCUAGAAAAGGCAGUCACUCUUUAUUCUAAUUAUUUGUUUUCUUGUGGCUAUAGGCCCAAAGCGAAUAGCAAAACGGGCAGAUCUUAAGACUUCACUGUGUGAGAAUAUGAUAAUCUCUAAUUAAGGUCUGUCUAGCCUUACUCCCCUUCUGCCUGGUUCAUGUACCUAAACCAGAGGUUAGACUUUCCUGAAUAUGUGAGGUAAUUGUUGCUGUGAGCAUGUGGCAUUCAGCUGUGAGAAGCAAUGGAGAGAGGAGGAGAAUAUCUAGCUGCUGAAUAUGUCUUCGUGGUGGAGGUGUCAUCCUGGCUCUUCUGUGGGCAAGACUCUCAGUGUGUUUCAGGGUUGGUGGAAAACCAAAAAAUACCAAUCAGCUGUGAAUCCCGCUGCCUAAUGCCUGCCUGACAAUUUUGCACACAUGCUGCACUCUUCCCCCUGCUCUUUGCCUUCAAGUAGAAGUGCUGCCAGUGUUGCAAGGCCUCUAGUGUGAGAAUAACCCUGCCACGCUGUGGGUUGAUUGGCAUCCUUUGGGCACCACUGCAAUACAGAUGAAGAAAUGUUGGUUUACAUUUGAGUAGAAGACCAUAAAUUCAGUGAUUCUGGCUCAUUACCACUGCAGCAGAUAGCUAGGAACACCCUUACUUUUUCUAGAGCAUUUUUCAGCUGCUUUCUGGUUGUUGUUGUUGUCUCUCUCUUCCCCUACAAUGCCCUCCCAGUGGCUCCUGCCAUCCUUCUGGUCCCAAACCUUCCAUCAUUCCCUGUUCUUUCCAGAGGGGAGGGAGAUGAUGGUUUAUUGGGUCUGCAAAGGAGGAAGAAACAGGAGACAUCCAGCUAUCAGGGCAGGGGAGAGGGGAGGAGCAAGGGAGGGAAAAACAGCGAGGAGAGCCGGAGACAUACUGGCUGGAGGGAGGCACUGGAGAAAGAGAAAGCUGGGAGCAAAGCUGGAAGCAAACAAGGACGAGAACAGAGGCAGAGGAAGGCAGGAGGGACACUCACUGGGAUACAGGCAGGGACAAAGAGUGGAAAGAAAAUGCCAAGAAAAGAUGAAGGGGAAAGGAGGCAAUUUAGGGAGGAGUGAAAACAAGAUUAUGAGGGGAAGUAGGAGGAUUUGAGAUGUUAUGCAUUAGGAGGCAGGAGAGAAGGGAGAUUUCACGGAGGGCAAUAAUUAAAGGUGGAAUUGCACUUGGCAUUGAGGAAAGCACUUUGGGCUGAAGAAAAAGAAAGAGGGAAAAGAAGGAAUAAAGGAAAAAAAAUCAAAUCCUUGUGUGGAUCAGGGAGAUUUCAUGAGAAAAGGAAAAAGAAGGAAAGAAAGGAAGAAAAAGAAAGAAAAAAAGAAAGAACAAAAGAAGAAAAGAAAGGAAGGAAGGAAGGAGGAAAAGAAAAAAAAUCAUAUGAGCUAGAAAAUAGGAGGGAAAUCAACAAAAGACAGCACUAAUCUAAAAUACAGAUUGAGAAAAAGGGAAGAUUGCAUGAAUCGUGAAGGAAAGAGAGAAAUAAAGGAGGAAAGGAGAGUAGCCUUGGAAUAUAUCAGAAUUCUUCCCUAAAAUAGAUCCAAACAGAAUCUUUACUUAAAAAAUAAAAGUAAACAUUCAAGCAACAGUAGAAACACACAACUUUUUAAAACACUGAAAUAUUUUUGAAUGCGUUCAGCCACUUUUUCUGGUCCCAGCACUUGUGGCUCUUAAAUUCUCUAUAAAAUCCCUGAUGUACUGUAGAGCCCUUCCCUAUACAAAGGACAUCAUGUAAAGCCACACACUUGUUACUGAACCAGCAGUAGGAGGAAAGAAGAUCCCUCCAUGUGUAAACCCCAUUAUCCUCCCCAUUACUUAACAUAAUUUGCCUUAGGCAGCAAGUUGAAUCCUCCAAAUAUUCGCUGCAGAGAGAGAUACAGAGUGAGGAACUCACUUAUCUUUUCAGGUGGAUUUCACAGUCUGGUUUUCUCUCUUUGUUCUCUCUUUCUCCCUGGUUCUGUUGUUUUUCUUUUAUCUUUCCCUUUCACGUUUUUCAGCCCAAUUUCGCUUUCUGCCUGCUGUUCUCAAACAACUUACUCAGUUUCUGGUUAUAUUUUCCUUGCCAUCUGUCACCCACCCUCUGCUGAUGCCCUCCAGGUGUUCCUUCAUUGUCCAUGCCACCCCUUUGCAUCUCUGCCUCUCCCUCCAGGUGAUGACCUCUAUAGGUCCCCUACCUGCCUCGACCAGAGCGUGUGCACUGCCUGUGUCACCAGGAUUGGGUACGUGACUUGCCAGGUUAACUCCAAUGUCUCGUUCCAUCUCAUAAAAAGGGAAAUAUCUACAACUGUAUAGUUCCCCUUUGAACACUGGUAGAAAGGAAUAUCCACCUCCAUCACAUAUACGCUUAUUACAUGUCUAUUCUCUAUUUGCUUUCGUUUGAUCUCAUGGUCUCUCGUCUUUUCUGCUUCAUUUAUUUGACCUUCUCUUCUGAUCCGAGUAUUUGAUCUGAAGUUAAAAAAAAAGUGCAGGUUGGACUAGAUGAUCUUUGUGGUCUUUUCCAACCUUAAUGAUUCUAUGAUUCUACUGAGGCCAAUGGACUGAGGUCUGGAGAUCUCCCUGAAGAUCCUGAAGAUGCCAAGCCUCCCCUGCAUGCCACUUACAAAAUCAAUGCACUGCAGGACAUCCAUGAGGUGUCCUGUCCGUGCCAAACUGAUUUGUCUCACACAAGCCUAAAUGAAGUCUUAAAGAAUACUCCUGAACUGUAGCAAUCUGAGGUCUCAUCCACAGCCCUGGGACCGAGGAACCUUAGGUGGUCCCAAAGCAGGCAUCUUGGUGCCCUUGUAAUCAGUGUGACCAGUCCUCACCAUAAAGAGGUGAGGAAUCUCAACCUUCACAUUGCUCUGUUCUGGGCCUCACCACAGGCAGCACCCUGGACCACUGCAGAUGUUGGCACCUACCCAGGCACCAACGUGCCCUAGCCCACACACUCUUACGAUAUCCUUGAUCCCACUGGUAAAGGAGUCACAGGGACCUUCCUAACCCCACACCACCUGGAGUCUCCUCUAGUGACACAUCCUGAAACGCCCCUAGCUGAAGUCAACAGCAAAGAGCUUUCUACGUGUGCUGCAAAAUGGUAACUUAGGAGAAAGCAGAUGGCACGUGUAGAGGAUUACAGCAUUCAGAUUUUUCUUUCAGAUGAAGUUAAGGGCCAUGUCUGAAUAAUCCUAACGCUGCAUGCUUUCUUCUGGCACUGGCAUAACCCCUCUGUGCAUGUGGAGCCCAGGGUUAGGAGGGGCAAUAGGAGUGAGAGAGGUAUUGGCAAAGGGCUUGUACUCUCACAGGGAUAAGAGCUGGAGUUUGUUAAUGCCAAUGCUGUAUAUUAUGUUUUCAGGAGUGAAAAUACUCAGUCUUUUCCUUAAGUGUUUGCACAGUGCCCAUAACGCAUGGCUCUUAUUUGAAUCAGGUGCUGGUGCUGCUGUCCCAUGGCAAACAUUGCAUGUCUGGAACAAUUCUGUCAGGGUGAGGAUCCUCUGCUUCCCAGCAUGUGUGUGUGUGCCUGUAUCAUUACAAAGCACAUCUAGGGGGCAGCUGAAACUUGAGACGGUGGAUGCAAAAUGACACUAUUGCUUAUCUACCUAAUCAUGCCAUUUUAUCCUCAGUAUCAAAACAAAGAAGGAGCCUCUAAACUUUUCCAGUGUGUAUCAGAGGAUUGGGACAAACUGGCCUGGCAGGCAGGUUCCUCACCAAGCAGUUCACACCGACUGCCGAAAGAAGAGGCAAGAUGAGCUGGGAAGCCGAAAGUCAGCAAAAAAAUCUCUGCUGCUUCUGCAGCUGCCUGAUGGUGAAAAGGAGCCAUCUCGAUGCCAGAAGGAGAUAAUCCGCUGACAGCCGGUUAUGCUAGUAAAGAUAAAUAAACAGCAGCUAUUUGAUCCCCUCCAAGGACACCACGGUAGAAGGGGUAUAACUUCCCAUCCCUCAGCUCUUUACAAAUAGCAGAGAAACAUUUGUUUCUGGGGAAUAAUUAAUUUAUUUCAGUCUGGGGCAAAAGAAGAUUUGCUGAAGGCCAGGGUGGUCUGGAAAGGCACCUUUGCAUAUUUGGAUAUUUUUCCUUGAAUUCCUCACUAAAUCUGUACAAGAAUCAUUUCUUCUCCACAAGGGCAGGCAGUGUUUGAGGUCUCUCAUUUUAUCCAUUAAGGUUAAUGUUCCUAAUACAGUCUUCUCAUCUCUGCCAGAAAGGAUUCCCUGAGGAAUUUAAAACUUUUGAAUGAAUUCCCCGGAAAUAUCCAUUGAUAUAAUUAUUCCCAGGCACUGUAAGUUCAGUUUUGCUAGAAAGAGGCAAGCAUCCCAUGCAAGCGAGGAAAGACAUGGUUUGUGUGAAACUAGGGAGAUAAAAAUUCAUUUUCCAAGCUUCAAUAUAUUUAGCAGUGUUGUAGUUGUUGUGGUCUAAGGAUGUAGAAGAGCAAAUCAUGAAGGUAGUAUAUGAAAUCAACUGUUAUCACUGGGAAACACAAGAGAACUUUUAGGUAUACAAACCUUUCUUUAGGUCCAAACUGGAAGAAACAAACUUCAAGUUAAAUAUAGAUUUAAAUGUUGCAGAGAACAUAUUUUCCAUAGAAGGAAGACUUCUCAGUCCCUCUGAGGUGGAAUUAAACCAGCCCCUGUCACUCUUAGCGGCUCUCCCUUUUCUACUGUGUGCACCAACGGAAAUACUUUAGUUCAUACAAAUUUGCCUUGUGGUUUCCAAGCAAAUGCCCAAAUGGUCCUUCGAGCAGACGAGCAUGAGGAUGCUAUUUUGGUGAGUAAGGAUGAGUGAUACAUUUCCUCCCUGGCCAUCAAACAGCCCCCUUGCACAAGUCCUGUUAGAACAAUCUAUUCUUUAUUAAAAGAUAAAUUGUUUCCCAUUCCAAUAAAUACAAGUGAUGAUGUAAGGACCAUUUUCAUUCUUAGAGGUUAGUGAUACAAAAACAAGACAAAUCACAGUACAAGAAGUUUCAUUCUAUUGAAGCAGAGCAGAAGGCACACCAAGUCUGUGUACCAUGGGCACACAUGAAAAGAGAAGUCUCUUGCAAAGAUUUUGUUUCCCCUCUGAAAAAAAAAAAGAAAAAAAGUAACAUCUUUUGCUCCUGAACUUGUACCUACAACAGUACUGAAGGAGACCAAAGAUGCCUCAUCUAUCCCAUCCUUUCCCUGAUAACGUCCCAUCUCAAGGACUUCGGGAGGGCUGUAUGAAAUGGAGCCCGGAGGCCACCGGCCGUCAGGGCUGAAAGUCUGACAGUGCAUCCUUCCACAGGUUUGUUUCAUGAUUUUCUGAACAUGUCUAUCCUGUCAGGCUUCACAGCUUGCAGCAAGGAGUUUCAAAUGUGGUUAUGGGUCGGGUGAAAAGAUAUUGCUUUUUGUUUGUUUUAAACACUGAUCAAUUCACUUCUCACCACUUUCUCUUGCGCGCUGAGAAAUGGUGACUGAUUGCUCCCUGGCAUCCUUCUUCAUGCCGUUCUCCACCUGGCAGGCCUUUCAUGCUCCCUCUCAGUUUUAUUUAUUUAAUUUUUAAGCUGAAAAGUCCCAGUACACACAUUUUUAUGGAAAUGGUCCCAUAUCCCAGGAGCUGACUUUCCAAUUCCAGCGCAGCUCUCUUGAGACAGGCAGUGUGCUCCGGCUGCCACGAGGGAUGGGCACAAAAUGUCUCCAUGAAGGGGAACAACACAAGCUCCCAUUUCACUUCACCUUCUUCGGGGAGCUUCCAGCCACUCAUUCAACUCUUACUUGGCCAAUAGCAAGCACUGCAUUGAUGUUUUCAACAACUGAGGUAAACAGGAACUUUGCAGUGUUUUGAAACUACCAGAGACUUUCAUUCUAAUUCACUUCUGUUUAUCCAAGUCCACUGCAAGAGCAACUAAUUAAAUUAUGUCAUGUGUCCACUCAAUUUCCUAACAGAAUUCAGAAAGAAACUGUUUUUUUUCAUGCUGUCCCUCCCGGUUUGUGUUUACAUGUAUUAAUCAUACAGCGGAGCUAUGCCAAUCAGAUUUGUGAAUGUAUUGACAUUAUCUAACUAUUUCUUAUCUCUGAAGUGUAACAUUGGUGUGUCUUACUGUUAUUAAUCAAUUUUAAAUCAAGGAAUGCACAAACAGGCUUCAUAGCUGAAUUUCCUAACUUUUAAGUGAUAUAUUUUGCAACUUGCUUGUCACACAAAAAACAGAAGACUUGAGUGGAAGAAGUUAAAAUCAAUUAUAAAUAACAGUAGCUCUGUAGGCCUCUUUUUACAUGGAGUAUUGUGUUCAGCAGUGGGGCCUGCAGCGUAAGAAGGUUGUGAAGCAGUUGGAGCAGGUCUGCAGGAGGGCCACAAAGACGACUGGAGGGCUGGAGCACCUCUCCUAUGAAGACAGACUGAGGGAGCUGGACUUGCUCAGCCUGGAGAAGAGAAUGCUUCAGGGAGACCUCACUGUGGACUUCAGUGAGUAAAGGGUGCCUACAGGAAGGUGAGUGAGGGACUUCUUAGCCGGAAGUGUAGUCAUAGGACAAGCAGAUUGAUUUAGAUUAGAUAUUAGGAAGAAAUUUUUCAUUGGGAGGGUAGUGAGACCCUGGAACAGGUUGCUCAGAGAAGCAGCACCUGGAGGUGUUCAAGGCCAGGGUGGAUCGGGCUGAGGGGAAACUGAUCUAGUGUGGACAUCCCUGCCCAUUGCAGGGGGGCUGGAACUGGAUGAGCUUUAAGGUCCCUUCCAACCCAAGACAAUCUACAACCAUAUGAUCACAAUGUAUUAUGCUGUAGCUCUAAUGUAAACCAUAACUAAGUAAAAGGGAUUCUUUACAGAUGCACUCCAUAGAAGCCAAGCUUUUGACUCGUCUUUGACCUUCCCUUCGCCCCUCCCCAUUCAGUUCCAAAUGCAGCACCUUCAGAUCCUGAUGACUUGUGAAAGAGGCAAGGAGAGACUAGGAGGCCAAAGCAGAAACCUGGCAAAAACCAAACCUACGGUAACAGCACCCACAGUGUGCUUAAUGCCUGAUAAUCUGCGAUUGACUAACACUGCUUAUUGUUAGGCCAUGAAAACUCACUCUGAAUCCUUGCGCUGUCACCCACCUCUCUGUCUACUGAGUCAUAGUUAACUCUUAUUCUCACAUGCAAAGCCAUGCACAGCUCUGCUCUGACAUUGCCUUUCCCCACUGCUCCUUAAUAACUGUUGUUUCACAGCUGGCCUACUUGUCAGCACAACAAUCAGCCAGGGCAACAUGAGAUAAAUACAGGGGUUUCAAUGAUUUAAUACUUCCCAAAGUUCACUACUUCUGCACUGCUUGAAACACUGAUGUUAUUUGUACUACACUGUUCAAGAAAAGAUGAUACUGAGAUUAAAAUUAAAAUUAGCAGUGUGAAUUUAGUGCUCAGCUGGUAAUCUCAGCUCAAAUAUACAUCUAGUUAAACACUCAAAGGAAAUAGAACUGCUUUUUAGGUUCUCCAACCCCUCAAAACCCAGGAUCUUUACAUAUCUAGUGAUAUGUAAGGAUUCAGGGGCCAAAUUUAUGCAAAGAAUUUUGAAAACUGCAGUCAGUAUUUACAUUUGAAGUAGCUAGCAUCCUGCAAUUAUCAUCACCACCUGGUGCAUCUUGGUUCCCCCUUCCCCUCCCCACAGUGACCUUUUACAUCAUGAGUUCCUCAGGAUAGGUUCUGUUGUAUCAGGUCUCCCCUGCUAGGUGCCAAAAUGAUCGUUAACACUUAAAAGAGCUAAAAAAGAUGCCAUGUUCUGUCUACUGGUUGUACCGUUUAUGGGAAUGUACAUCUCCCUACAGAUGCUGUUUGCCCGUAAUGUCUGAUUUCUGUGCAUGUGGAAGACCUACCAGCUGAGAUGUCUAUGUGCCUGUGUUAAAACCUGGUGGCUGCUGUCAUUGCCCAUGGGUUGUGCCCUUGGUUUACCACUUCGAGUGGACUUCUAUUCACUUAUCAGGCUAGUGACACACAGAAAUGCUCUGUUAAAGGUCGCCAUUUCCUUUCUUUGGGUCCUUGAA